rfam:Chloroflexi bacterium RIFCSPLOWO2_12_FTLL_71_12 rifcsplowo2_12_scaffold_8034, whole genome shotgun sequence.
GGGCCGGUAGCUCAGCGGUAGAGCAGAGGACUCUUAAUCCUCUGGCCGUGGGUUCGAAUCCCACCCGGCUCA